rnacentral:rRNA from 1 species
UGGAGCAUGUGGUUAAUCGAAGCAACGCGAAGAACCUUACCAGGUCUUGACAUCCCGAUGCUAUUCUAGAGAUAGAAAGUUACUUCGGUACAUCGGUGACAGGUGGUGCAUGGUUGUCGUCAGCUCGUGUCGUGAGAUGUUGGGUUAAGUCCCGCAACGAGCGCAACCCCUAUUGUUAGUUGCCAUCAUUCAGUUGGGCACUCUAGCGAGACUGCCGGUAAUAAACCGGAGGAAGUGGGGAUGACGUCAAAUCAUCAUGCCCCCUAUGACCUGGGCUACACACGUGCUACAAUGGUUGGUACAACGAGUUGCGAGUCGGUGACGGCGAGCUAAUCUCUUAAAGCCAAUCUCAGUUCGGAUUGUAGGCUGCAACUCGCCUACAUGAAGUCGGAAUCGCUAGUAAUCGCGGAUCAGCACGCCGCGGUGAAUACGUUCCCGGGCCUU